UAGAGUUCUUAAGAAAGCUGCUAACUAUCUUUAAGCAAUUAAAUUUGUUAAACU
rnacentral:tRNA from 1 species